UGAGCCAGCUCAUGAGCUAUCAGC
rnacentral:siRNA from 1 species